GGAUGAACCGCUCCCUAAACAGAGGGGGGACGUCCACGUCUCGGACGGUCGAGGGAAGGGAGGGGAGGAGGCGGUCCAGCAGAGGAAGGAAGCUUCGACUCUUUUAAUGAUGUCACCUCGUCGUGUUCUCUUCUUCUUCUGCUGCGGUGGUUUAACGGCAGCGACCGGAGAAUCAUCUCCACCAGCUGUUUAUCUCUGUCAGCCACAACUUCAGCUAGUGAUUAUUGUGCUUCCCUGCCACAUACUAACUCUCCUGUCUCAUCCAGUCCUGCAGCACAUAUAUACCUCCUCAUCCUCCCAGCCUUUUGUUCUGCCUGCCUGACUCAUCAUCCUCUGCAGGACCCCUUUUUCGGGUUUGCUAGAGGUUGUGUGAAGCUCUGCUGGGAUUUAUAUUGUGUCUAAAAAUUAUUAUUGUGCAUAAAAUAAAAGAAAUUGGGAACCUCUGAGAGAAUAGAGAAGUUGACAGUGUCUUUUUAUUAGUACAGAUCAUGUCACUCUUCACACUUUAUGUUUGCAUCAGGGCUGAUACAGUAUUACUCCAUACUACACUCCAAUACUACAACAAGGUAAAUUAUGGAUUCCACAGAGUUAAAUCAUAUUAAAUAUCAAAUUCCCUAUUUGUUCGGGUCGAGAUGGAUCAGUUUUGGUUGGUUUUGGCCACAACACAGGUGCAGCCGACAGCCACAGAGAGAUACGAUGCGGUGUAGCAGUGAACCCCGCGCUGCUGGUUCAGGACCAGGACGUUCUGGUAGAUGGGGACGGAGUUCAUGUUGUAUUUGUUGGGCUGUCCGGGGUUGGGACUGGAACAGAAGCUGUUGCUGCACUCGGCUUCCCAGAGGGUGGCGGGGAUCCGGUUCUUCACGGUGGACGACCUGAGCAAACGACAGCAACGGAGUCAAAACAAGAUCAAGUGCUGCCCACAGAUACGGAGUCCCACAGACUGACCUCCAGCUCCACGGAGACAGCGAUCUGCUGUGGAUGUUCCCGUUUCCCUCAGACGAGGAGGCGACGUCUGAGGAGAACGCCAACGUGGAGUCACAACCAGGAGGAGAAGCAUUCACCGAGGAGGAGACGACCCACAAUACACUGCAAAAUACCUGCAGAGAGGACACAUUAUUACUAUAGAGUAUCAGAUGCAUUUGUUUAUAAAUGGGCAGAAAUGACAUUUCUUCACCAACCAGUGGUGUUACCUCAAAUACUGUACUUUUUAUUUUAUGCAAAAAUCUUUUAAUAGAGUUGUAUCCCUUGGCUAACGAUGGCUAAGACACACAAAAAAGUUGAAAGUGAAUUAUGUAAUAAACUCUUAUUAGGGAGAUAUUUAUUGAUUUCUUAGCAAAAAUAAAUUUCAAUUUCUGUUGGGAUUUAUUAUUUAUUAAUUAGUCUAAUCAUGAUGAUUAGUUGAUUUACUGGUGACCAUACUGUAUGUGCUUUUCAUCUGAGUAGCUGGAUGCAUUAAAGAUACCUAACAUAAGUUGUUAAUAUGAUUACGAGAGAACUCAAAAUAUACUGUAACAACAUACAGAAACUGCUCGCCGUGGCUUUUUUGGGACUCCGUACAAAAAAGAAAGCGGCUCUGCAUUUACUUCACUGGUUUAAUCCAUAUCUCGUAUAAUUGUGGCUCCCCCACACAAACACACAGGUUUAUAAUGUAUAUGAUUUAUUUGUUAAUUUAAAUCCGAAUCUUCGCUCUAAAUUUCUAAUUUCUAACAUAGAUGUAAAUAUGGAUGUAUCAGAGGAAAUGUUUGAGCGAUGCUCAUUUUGUGUCCAUUAUCUCAUAGUUUAUUUUUGUCUUAUCAAGACUUUUAACAGUUGAUAUCAGCUGAUAUUCAGCUGACUUGCCGCUUCAUUGAAACUUAGUUAUCCCCUUUUUAUAUACUCUAUUUGAAUUCUCGGAGAUGUGGUCUGGAAGCAGAGUAAUUUGUCAUCAUUUCGUACGGUUAAUAAAGUUAUUGCUCACCAGCAGAUUGCAGGCA